GCCGGGAUGGCGGAAUGGCAUACGCAGGCGACUUAAAAUCGCCGAUCGGUAAUCCCGAUGUGCGGGUUCGAGUCCCGCUCCCGGCA
rnacentral:tRNA from 1 species